rnacentral:misc_RNA from 1 species
UGAAGACGGCCGAGUUCCCGUCCCUUAUAACUGCUAUUUGUUGUUCUCUCGGUCAGCUGGAGUAGAAGGAGGACAGGAAACGCGGAAAAUAGAUAUGAAAUGUCUAUGACAGUUUCCCCGAAAUGUCGUCCCUCUGGAAGAAGUUUCGAGGUGGGUCUGGGGGAGGGAGCCCGAACCACACAGGCCAUGGAGCGGCUGCUAGCAGUUCUUCCUAUCAGGGGGGAGCUGAAGUAUGCCAGGGUGCUGAAGUGACCUCAUCGCCACCCUCACAGCAGGCACCGUCUAGUAACUUGCGCUUCAUUACACGUGCUGAUGAAGACCUGUUCAUGUCUGAGUUAGGGGACAAAAAGGUGGAUCCAUUGCAAAUACAAUCACAGUUUGUGAAGACUGUUGAAGAUAUCCUCAAUAGCCACUCCACUCUGCCGUACUUCUUGCAGUUUUUGCAAGGUUGGGGUGCUGAAAAGUAUGCAAGGUUUUGGCUGGAUGCUACUAGCUUCAGAGCUGCAGCUGUGACUCGCAUACGAAGCCAGGAUGUGCAUAUAACAUCCGACAUAGCAACUUCCACAACUAGCGAUAGAUCUUACAUAGAUUAUAGUGAUAGUAAUUGUACAGAACCGGAAAACAAGCAAAAACAGACAGUUGAUGAAAUAUUUGAGACUUACACUACUCAGUCAUGCUCAAAUUCAAGGACAGAAAGCUUUGGUCCAAAGGAAGAAAUGCAAUCUAGAGAUAAAGGAUUGGUCUUACCUGAUUUAGUAAGUAAUAUUAAACAUGCUAAUGAUGUUACUCCUCUUAAUAGCCCUGAUGGGAGCUUUAGCAAGGUGCUGAACUGUGAUGGUCGGACUUCUGAAGGGAACCCGAAAACUAGUGAUGAGAAGUGUGUGAUAUUACCCAAUCAUAUGGAUAGUGUUAAAGAAAGCAAUACAAAGCCAGUUGGAAGUGGAAGUGUUAUUACAGCAAAGCCUCUUUUAAAAGAUAAAAGAGGUUUUUCAAGUCCAAGUGCCUCAGUAUGUUCAAGGGCUCAGAAACUCAGACAAAGCAUAGCAGAGGAUGCCAUGAAGAUUUUCAACAAGUACAUAGCAAGGGAUGCAGAACAGUCUAUUGGUCUAGAUGAUGAUAUUAGAGAGGUUAUCCUACAAAAGAUCUCCGUAGUUCAGGAAGACAUUGAUUCUGAGUGCUUUGUUCCAGCACAGAAAAUAGUGUUUGGUGUCCUAGAAAGAGAAUACCUCCCAAAGUUUCUUGCAAGUGACUACUACCUCAAACACCAAAUUGAUGUUCUGACCAGUGGCUCUGUGCGUUUGGCAGAUAUUCUGUAUAGUGAUUCAGCAUUUCCUUACUUCAUGGAGUUUGUGGAGCAGGAAGGAGGAAGGCAGAUGCUGCAAUUGUGGGUGGCAGCUUCAAAUUUCCGUCAGCAGCUGAUUGAGCAUGCUGGCAUGUAUGAUCCACAGCAAGCACAGGCAGAUGCUAUGGUCCUUUAUGACAAGUACUUUUCUCUGCAAGCAACGUGUCCGCAAGGAUUCAGUGACCGAGUAAGAUUUGAAGUUGAAAGUAAUAUCUGCCGUGAGGAGGGACCCCUACCAUCCUGUUUUAAUUUGCCUCUCAGAGUGGUUCUGCAUGUUCUAGAAAGGGAUUUCCUCCCUGGCUAUUUGUCAUCCAGUCUUCACAUCAAGUACCUGAGUGAGUUGAUUAAUACUGUCAAGACGAGUAUUGAACUGCUUGGCCGCAAAAAGAGAUCAGGCUCUGAGAGCACAUGUAGCAGUGAGCAGAGCAGUACCUAUGGGGGAGCAGGAAUCAGUUCACAAAAUACACUGCUGGCGAUGGACACUUCGUCCACGCACCGUUUUCACAAUUUGGAUGGUGCCAUGAGAAUUGAUGAGGCUCAGAUUACGGAUCCAGAUUCACUAUGGAGGCGAAAGAAUUUCAGUAAAAUGAGCUGUGGAUUCAUAAAUGAGCUUGGAAGAUUUGAAUCAGAACUGCAGCCAGAGCCUGAUCGCAAGACAGAGUCAAAAAUUUCUCGAACUCUUAAAAGAUUUGUUAACAUGGAUGAAGAUAAGGUAAAAGAAGAUAUGGCUUACAAAGUGGCUGAGAUGAUUAUUAAAGAUGUGACAAGUGUAACCUUAGGAUCGCAAGGAAGCAACAGAUCCAGCAUGGAGUCCUCCCAGCCACCACUCACACCAUCAUCAGUGUCACAGGAUAAUCUCAGUGAUGUUUUCCCCUCAUGAUGUGAAAGAGGUGUCUAUAACAGACCAGUUUUAUCUGCUACAUACAGAAAUGUGAUAAUAGGACCGUGAAUCAUAGGAGCACUUACUGAAAUAACGAAUGUACAUAUGUACAUAUACAUAAUUAUUUUGUCCCCAGGGGGCUCAUUGGUGUUAGUGUCACAGCGUUUAGGGAAAAUUGGUCGUAGCUCGUGGACAGGCUCAGAGGAUUCCCAGUGAGGAUGUAAUUAAAGAGUUUGAUACUUGAGUGCGUGCAAUGGGAAUAAAGAGAUUGUCCUUGGUUUGGCAUAUGUUGUCGUCAGGCAGGAAGUGGAGAGCAGUGGCCAUUUUACUUCAAAGAAAAGAAGGCCAUUAUCUCUCUCUCACACACACACACACACACACACACACACACACACACACACACACACACACACACACACACACACACACACACACACACACACACACACACACACACACACACACACACACACACACACACACACACACACACACACACACACACACACACGUGUUUGUAAAUAUAUAGCAUGCUAAAUUAAAAGGAAUAUUAUUUCAGUCUAAUACUGUAAUGAGAAAGAAUAAACCUUAAGUACUACAAACAUCUGAAAAUGAUUCCUGGCAUCAGUUAAUAGUUUUGCACACAUUGAAAGUUGGCAUGUGAUCAGAUGCCUAGAGCCCUCUUUUGAACAGGAAACUAUUUUAUUGUCAGCAGCAUGAAAAGUAUGUAGGACUUAAUGGACUUUUAUUGAACUAUUUUACUGUCAGCAGCAUGAAAAGUAUGUAGGACUUAAUGGCCUGUUUCAGAUGAAUCAGUUUUUUGUUUCUAAGGGCAGUAUGAUGUACUUUCAGGUAUAACCAAUAGCAUCAGUAAGCACUUUCACAUGUGUAGAACAUAGAAAAAUUAUGCUAUGCCACCCACAACAGACAGUGAAAAAGUAGUACAUCUAUUAGUGGCUUAUAAAGAGAUUGUGUAAUUGUUGCCAGAAAAUCAAGGUACCUGAAAUGGUCCAGGUAGUUCACACAAGUCAUCUUACAGUGAAUGAAAGCUGUCUUAUCAAGCAGACAGUUUGAAAUGUCUGUGUGUUGGGGUUAAAUGCAAGAUAAUGGAAAAGGAUGCAGAUUAAUGGUCAGAUGCUGUGGUUGCCCCUCCUUCCCUCCCUCUCUUUCUCAAAUAGACACAUUCAUUAGACAAAUGCUUACAAAUGCAAAAGCACACAAACACAGGUACAGAGACACAUAAACACAGAUACAUAUAUAUGGAAGUAAACACAUGCACAUAUGUGCAUGUGUGUAAUUUUCUGCUUAUAGUUAUAUAUGAACUGGCUUCUACAUAUAUACAUAAAUUAAAAUUACUUGACCUAUAGAAUCUGCCACUGUUACUUUAAAUGUUUAUAUUACAGAAAAAGAAGAUUCACUUUAGAGUUUGUCAUGUUAACAGACAGUGAAGGUAGGCAUUCCAGCCUUGCUUUGGUAGACACUAACAAACUCAAGAAGAAAAUAUCGUACUAACUUUAAUUUGUUUUUAGGCUACCAACAGGACGUUUCAUUAUUGCUUUCAUUGUCCAGUCUCUCACAUAAGCAGAGUCUGUUAUUGUUAUGUACAGCAAGUCCUUGCUUUUUGUUGUGGUUUUCCUUAUGAAACAUAUAUAAUGAUAUGGAGUAAUGCAAUACCGUACUGACAUAGACAUAUAGCUAUCUUCCCUCAGAUACUGUUCUGGUCUUUCUGGGUGAUACCCAAAUUCAGCUUGUUUGAAUUCUCAUCAGGGAGGGUAGUUAUGUACAUUUCUAUAGUAAUGAUUCAUGGUUAUGGAAGUUUUUUCUAGUUUUGUAAAGCUUUGGCUCAGUGAAGUGAAAAUGAUAUCUAUUUUCAUUCAUUUAUCAUAGUUAACAAAAGCUGUAUAGGAAUGUCCUUUUUUGCAAGGUUGCUAUAUCUUCUAGGACAGCCCUGCAGGAAUGCCAGGUCUUAUCAGGGAACAUAGUCAUUAUUGCUGAAAAUAAGGUAGGAUUGGCUCAUUUUUUAACCCAGUACCUUUCAUGAUUCUGACUUGCAUGUUGACUAUACAAGAUAGGACAUAGUGUGACUUUUAUCUUUUGCCAGAUUUUAAGGAAAACUAAUCUAUGAUCUAGAAUUUUAAUUAUAAAGUUAAAAAUGUGUAGAAUCAAAACCUGGUAAGUUUAAUGCUAUCAGCAAAGGCUUUCUGUACAUACUAUUUUAGAAUUGUUUAUAUAUACUUAUUUUUUCAUACCAAUUUGCACUCAAAAAAUCUACUUUAUAUUUUUAUUUUGAUGAAUCAUUUGUUAUAUGCGCAUCGUAAAAUAUGAACAUUCCUAAACUCCAGGUUGUAAAUUCCUUUCUAUUCCCUUUUCUUAAUUAAAAUACCCAUAAAAAUCAGAUCUACAGGAGUUAACUUGAUAUUAAGUAGCAAGCUUUUGGUUUGCCCAAAUCAUACUUGUAUUUGUUAUAUAUUUCUUGAAGAAAGUGUUGUAUAAAUAUGUGUAUUUACAUACAUAUGGAUGUUGUUAACCCUCCUUCAGUUAGUAUUUAUGUUUGACUGUUUUUACACAAAAAAUCAACUGCAUUCUUCACGUGCUAACAGCGGACUGGUGAUUAGAAUUAAGUAUAUUCUAGCAAACCCUGCAUGUUACCAGUUUGGGUUUGACAGUGUUAGUUCUUUGUUGUUUUCCUGUAUAUUCUAAAAUGAGGAUGUAAGGCAUCAGAUACUGGCAGAUGCAUCCACUCCUGUAUCUUAUUGACAUUUGGAACACCCAGUCUACUGAUUUAGAAAAUUAUUCUAAAUACAAGCAAGGUCUUUUGGAGUUACUAGCAGCUGAAGAGGUUAACUUCUAUUCUUUUCUUUGUGUCUGUUUAAUACUCUGUGUGUGUGUGUGUGUGUGUGUGUGUGUGUGUGUGUGUGUGUGUGUGUGUGUGUGUGUG